GGGGGACCAUCCUCCAAGGCUAAAUACUCCUGACUGACCGAUAGUGAACCAGUACCGUGAGGGAAAGGCGAAAAGAACCCCGGCGAGGGGAGUGAAAAAGAACCUGAAACCGUGUACGUACAAGCAGUGGGAGCACCCUUCGGGGUGUGACUGCGUACCUUUUGUAUAAUGGGUCAGCGACUUAUAUUCUGUAGCAAGGUUAACCGGAUAGGGGAGCCGCAGGGAAACCGAGUCUUAACUGGGCGAAUUAGUUGCAGGGUAUAGACCCGAAACCCGGUGAUCUAGCCAUGGGCAGGUUGAAGGUUGGGUAACACUAACUGGAGGACCGAACCGACUAAUGUUGAAAAAUUAGCGGAUGACUUGUGGCUGGGGGUGAAAGGCCAAUCAAACCGGGAGAUAGCUGGUUCUCCCCGAAAGCUAUUUAGGUAGCGCCUCGUGAAUUCAUCUCCGGGGGUAGAGCACUGUUUCGGCUAGGGGGUCAUCCCGACUUACCAACCCGAUGCAAACUGCGAAUACCGGAGAAUGUUAUCACGGGAGACACACGGCGGGUGCUAACGUUCGUCGUGAAGAGGGAAACAACCCAGACCGCCGGCUAAGGUCCCAAAGUCAUAAUUAAGUGGGAAACGAAGUGGGAAGGCUCAGACAGCCAGGAUGUUGGCUUAGAAGCAGCCAUCAUUUAAAGAAAGCGUAAUAGCUCACUGGUCGAGUCGGCCUGCGCGGAAGAUGUAACGGGGCUAAAUUAUGCACCGAAGCCGCGGCAGCGAUAUGUAAAUAUUGUUGGGUAGGGGAGCGUUCUGUAAGCCUGUGAAGGUGACCUGUGAGGGUUGCUGGAGGUAUCAGAAGUGCGAAUGCUGACAUAAGUAACGAUAAUGCGGGUGAAAAACCCGCACGCCGGAAGACCAAGGGUUCCUGUCCAACGUUAAUCGGGGCAGGGUGAGUCGACCCCUAAGGCGAGGCUGAAAAGCGUAGUCGAUGGGCAACGGGUUAAUAUUCCCGUACUGGUGGUAACUGCGAAGGGGGGACGGAGAAAGCUAAAUCAUCCGGGCGACGGUUGUCCCGGUUUAAGCGUGCAGGUGGACUGACCAGGCAAAUCCGGUCGGUUGUUAACACUGAGGCGUGACGACGAGCCACCACGGUGGUGAAGUGAUUGAUGCUCUGCUUCCGGGAAAAGCCUCUAAGCUCCAGGUUACCAUUAAUCGUACCCCAAACCGACACAGGUGGUCAGGUAGAGAAUACUCAGGCGCUUGAGAGAACUCGGGUGAAGGAACUAGGCAAAAUGGUGCCGUAACUUCGGGAGAAGGCACGCUGGCAUUAGGUGAAGUGGUUUACCCAUGGAGCUGAAGCCAGCCGCAGAUACCAGCUGGCUGCAACUGUUUAUUAAAAACACAGCACUGUGCAAACACGAAAGUGGACGUAUACGGUGUGACGCCUGCCCGGUGCCGGAAGGUUAAUUGAUGAGGUUAGCGUAAGCGAAGCUUCUGAUCGAAGCCCCGGUAAACGGCGGCCGUAACUAUAACGGUCCUAAGGUAGCGAAAUUCCUUGUCGGGUAAGUUCCGACCUGCACGAAUGGCGUAAUGAUGGCCAGGCUGUCUCCACCCGAGACUCAGUGAAAUUGAACUCGCUGUGAAGAUGCAGUGUACCCGCGGCAAGACGGAAAGACCCCGUGAACCUUUACUAUAGCUUGACACUGAACAUUGAGCCUUGAUGUGUAGGAUAGGUGGGAGGCAACGAAGUGUGGACGCCAGUCUGCACGGAGCCAUCCUUGAAAUACCACCCUUUAACGUUUGAUGUUCUAACCCGGGUCCAUAAUCUGGAUCGGGGACCGUGUCUGGUGGGUAGUUUGACUGGGGCGGUCUCCUCCCAAAGAGUAACGGAGGAGCACGAAGGUUGGCUAAGCAUGGUCGGACAUCAUGCGGUUAGUGCAAAGGCAUAAGCCAGCUUGACUGCGAGAGUGACGGCUCGAGCAGGUACGAAAGUAGGUCUUAGUGAUCCGGUGGUUCUGAAUGGAAGGGCCAUCGCUCAACGGAUAAAAGGUACUCCGGGGAUAACAGGCUGAUACCGCCCAAGAGUUCAUAUCGACGGCGGUGUUUGGCACCUCGAUGUCGGCUCAUCACAUCCUGGGGCUGAAGUAGGUCCCAAGGGUAUGGCUGUUCGCCAUUUAAAGUGGUACGCGAGCUGGGUUUAGAACGUCGUGAGACAGUUCGGUCCCUAUCUGCCGUGGGCGCUGGAAGAUUGAGAGGGGUUGCUCCUAGUACGAGAGGACCGGAGUGAACGCACCACUGGUGUACGGGUUGUGAUGCCAAUUGCAUUGCCCGGUAGCUAAGUGCGGAAGAGAUAACCGCUGAAAGCAUCUAAGCGGGAAACUUGCCUCGAGAUGAGUCUUCCCUGAUUCU
rnacentral:rRNA from 1 species